GAAUCUGGUACCGGGACUUGGGGAGCGAGGGAUGCAACAUGGUGCAUCUGGGAGGCCUGCUAACUGGCUAACUUCUCCGGCGUUCCUCCCGGCCGAGGCGUGGGCACAGAAUAGCGCAGGUGAGGCCCAGAUAUGGUGUCUCGAUACGGCGCGGAAGGUCAGUAUGUACCUCGUUUUGUAUAUUGUCUUGAAACUUUACUCCUUUGUAUGUUUGAAGACAUCAUUUUCCAGUUUUGGAGCCGACUAAUGAACUAGUUCUUAAGUGAAAGGCAUUUAACACGACUGUGCAUCUACAGGUACUAGGUUUCCAAGAUGCCUUUCCAGACUAAAACCCACACAUGUGAGCCGCUGGCCGGACAAACAUCUGGCACCUAACGUGGGGCUGAAAAACAGCAGAGGACAUUUGGAAGAAACACUGCUGGUUUGGAGCUCCAUAGAAGAA
rnacentral:lncRNA from 1 species